UCCCCGCUGGUCGUCGUUCUCAGGCUCAGAGCCGGCUCCUCGGGCCCAGUGGCCUCGGGAGGCGGAGAGGAGGGACCCCGGGAGAGGAGCGCGCCGGAGGAGCAGCCCCCGGCCCGGAGCCUCGGGAGCCCGGUGCCGGUCCGCGAGUCCCGACUGGGUCCGCCUCCACUGUCACAGUCCUGCACGUUGUUCCAAGAGCAGCGGAAAAUGAAUCGGUGCGGAGUGAAGACAAAUGGGCCAUUGAGUCCCUGGUCCAGGCGGCCCACCCUCGCAGCACUGCAGUUCUUCACCGCCAGGUGUGCUGGAGACACUUAUGACGCUCGGUAACUUGACGGCGCGGAGACUUCUGGGAAAUAGAGUCCUGGUGCUUGUCCCGCUCUCCGGGCGGGCUUCGGCAGGCGGAUUUCCGGCGUCCCCCUGCGCAGGCGCGCGUCACGGUUCGUGCGUGUUGGCGCACGCGCACCGUUGCCGCGCCGCCCUCGCUUCCAGUGUGUGCCGAGGUCCCUGCUGGUCGUCGUCCUCAGGUCCUGGCGGCUGGCGGGCUCAGAGCCGGCUCCUCGGGCCCAGUGGCCUCGUGAGGCGGAGAGGAGGGACCCCGGGAGAGGAGCGCGCCGGAGGAGCAGCCCCCGGCCCGGAGCCUCGGGAGCCCUGGGCCGGUCCUCGAGUCCCGACUGGGUCCGCCUCCACUGUCACAGUCCUGCAUGUUGUUCCAAGAGCAGCGGAAAAUGAAUUGGUCUCCGCUGUGCUGCAUAGCGCGUGGGAUCUCAGUUCGCCGACCGGGGAUCAAACCUGCGCCCCCUGUAUUGGAAGGUGGAUUCUUAACCAGUGGACCACCAGGGAAGUCCCUAAAGUAUUUUUUUUUUUUAACAUCUUUAUUGGAGUAUAAUUGCUUUACAGUGUUCUUAGUUUCUGCUGUAUAACAAAGUGAAUCAGCUGUAUGUAUACAUAUAUCCCCAUAUCCCCUCCAUCUUGCGUCUCCCUCCCACCCUCCCUAUCCCACCCCUCUGGGUGGACAGAAAGCACUGAGCUGAUCUCCCUGUGCUAUGCGGCUGCUUCCCACUAGCUAUCUAUUUUACAUUUGGUAGUGUAUAUAUGUCCAUGCCCCUCUCUCGCUUUUUCCCAGCUUCCCCUUCCCCCUCCCCGUGUCCUCAAGUGCAUUCUCUACAUCUGCGUCUUUAUUCCUGUCCUGCCACUAGGUUCAUAAGAAAGAACCACUUUUUUUUCCUUUAGAUUCCAUAAAUAUGUGUUAGCAUACGGUAUUUGUUUUUCUCUUUCUGACUUACUUCACUCUGUUUCACAGACUCUAGGUCCAUCCACCUCACUACAAAUAGUUCAGUUUCGUUUCUUUUUAUGGCUGAGUAAUAGUCUUCUGAAGCACGUGUUGUUAUUAUUUUGACCUUCAUGACACAGGAGAUCAGAGGCCUAAGAUAUGGCUGAGCUGGAAGGUGACUGUAUGGGCGUCCCAGGGCUGCUGUAAGAAAGCACCACAAACUGGGUGGGUUAAAAUAACAGACAUCUAUUCUUCCACAGUUCUGAAGUCCAAAAUCAAGAACUUUGAUAUAUCCAUCCAAUUUUGUUGAACACCUGCUGCAUAUCCAGUGCUGUUUCAGAUAUGUGUUGAAGCUAUGAGGGCUAACUAGACAGACGGGGUCCCUGCCCUCGAGGGGCCCACCCACAUCCUAGUGGUGAGAGAGACAGCCAACAAGAGGACAAAUACAGUAACUACACGGUCACUUAAGAGCCAAGAUGGAAAUGAACAUGGUGCUGAGAUGGCAGGAACCUUCUGCUCCAAGUGUGGUGACAGGGGCCCAGAAGUGCCCCCCGAAGGAAGGGAUCUGGAUUGGUUUGCGAGGACUGCCGUAACCAGUCUUGCCCAAGGUGAGGGUGCCGGAAAGGGCAGAGCCCUCCAGACCCGGGGCCUUAACCGUUCAGCUGCGCCGUUUCCAAACAACCUCAUUAGUCCCCCUGCUGGGGUGGAUCGCCCAAAGGGCAGGGGGGCUUUGAGGCUAAUGUUGGCCCCGUGAGUGUCCUCUCAGGACCCCGCACGCUGCCGAGCACAUUGCAGGCCCUCUGCAAGGACAGCUCCUGGCUGUUCGUGAACCACCUGAUGGAUGCCCGCAGGCACUGCACAUCCUUAUGCCAUCUGGGGAUUUCCCAACACCCCCUCUCAGGAGGUGCAUCUGAACCUCAAACAAACACUUCUGGGAGGUCAGCAGGGGGUUCUUGUCCAGGCUUCUGUUUGGAUCCACAAAGACUUUCUGGGCACCUCUCUGGGUCAGGCAUGAGACACUUCCAGUUUGGUGGGGAAGCGUCAAGACCCAUGAGCAGACCGAUUCAAUAUGGCGGGAGGUUGGACCCAGUGCUUUAGGAGCAAGAGGCGGAGCACUGAAUCCCAGAGGGGUUUGGGAGGAGGUGACACACCUGAUCUGGGGAUUUAAAAAUUUAUUUAAAAAAAAUCAAAUUCAUAUAUGUACAUGCUUGAAAAAGUGGAACAGUCCUACAUGGUUUACAACAAAAUUAGUGGCACCUUGCUCUACCUGACCCACUCCAGUUUUUCCCUCCAGUGUCCAUUUUCAACCCAUUUAGAAGUUUCUUCUGGUGUUUAUAACCGUGUUACUAAAUGACACACUUAUCCUACUGUUUCCUGAUGAGAGUUCAGGUCUCUGACAUCCUCCUGGCCUCACACCCACUUCCGGCCUUCCCAAAACAUCGAAAGGAAGGAUUCCCAUUUGGUGUUUGCAUCAUCAUGACCUAAGUUCUUACAAUUCACGCUGGAGCCACACACACUUCUAUGCUUCCGUUUCUGUUCUUGACAUUUUUUCAUUUUCUCUGGAUUCAAUAGUUCCUUUUGUAAUUUGAUGAGUUCUCUGUGUUCCAUUAUCUGUUUUCCACCAGCACCCUGGACCUGGGCACCUUCUUCAUUUUCUUCCCAGCUUUACUGAAAUAUAAUUUACAAAUAUUGUGUAGCUUUAAGGUAUACGAUGUGAUGAUUUGACACACGUAUGUACUGUGAAAUGUUUACCUCAGUAAGAUUAGUUAACACGUGCUUCACCUCCCAUCUUGCAGCUUUCUGAGGGAUGAUUUUGCAUAGGGAUAUAAUUUUUUAAGCUGUGUACACUAGAGUCAGGCUUUCCUGUUGGCAGCACGAGCUCCGGGUAGCCUUUUUUUCCCUUCCUCCUGGAUUGAUCAGAAAUUUCAGUUUCUAAGGCAGCCCGAGUAUUCACCAUCAGGUAGUUUGCACGCACUUGGAUUCUCUUAAGAACUGCUAAUGCCUGCAGUUUUUUCCACGAUCUACUCCACCACUCGUACCUGUGACAUCUUUUGGGAUUUGAGAGGUGGAACAAGAGCUUUCUGCUUUGCAUCUGUGCCAUCAAAGGAGGCACCUAGUGGGUGGUCAGAGCACGAGUGAGUGUAACUGAGGCAAGGUGGUGGUUGUCUAUCGACUUCAGAUGUUUAACUGCUAAAUAAAUUGUGUUUUCCUUCUUUAAAAAACAAGGCAGAAUCAUUUAUACGAGACCACUAGAAAGGAGAUGAUUUGACAAAAUUAUUAAACAUUUAACUGAACGGAAUGUACUGGGUGACACUGAAUUUGGGCUGAGCCUUUGUGGUUCCUCCAGGGCCUGGCCCCUGAGCUGAAGGUCAUGAGCUGCAUCCAGAUGACCUUGCGAGCAGGCUGCUCUCUGCCUCGGAUUUCCUUUCCUGCAGAUGUGGAGCUUGUAUCUCAGAUCCUGAUUCUCCCGAUGGAGGUCUUCAUUGUCUCCUUACUGUCUAAGAACUUCCUGAACUCUCUUCCCUCUGAAGAAGCAAUAAUUUCCUCUCCACCUUUUCCAGAUGAACUCCUUAGUGGAUGCACCCCAAGACCCACAUUUCUGGGGCUCUCUUUCACAAAGUUAAAGCAUCCAAUAUCACAGCAGCAACUCAGCGACAAGAUCUUUUUUUUUUUUAAGUUACAAAAGUGAAAACUCAGGGUAAGUGUUUCCAUCUGCACUGUCUUUUGCUGAGCUGUGGCAUCUCCCCAUCUUUUCGGUGUUGAGCUAGAAAACUAGAAGGGAAGUCCACUCUGUCACUCACUCACUUUCUCACUCACCACACGCCCCUUAGACUUCUUUACAUUUGCUAGACAAAAAGAGGUCACUGGUACUUUAACUUCCUAAUUAAUUCUGCUAGAAUUCAACAGAGGGCUCAUGAGAUAAAUGAAAAGGCUGCUUAACUAGGAGAUCAAAGUGUGUGCGGGCCACGCUAAUUUCCCCUCACACGUCCAUGGAGGAUUAACUCAGAGGUUAAUGAGAUUUUAGCGAUAACACGAGCACAAGCAAAAACCCUCCAGAAAGACAAGGAGUUACUUAGUAUUCAUUGCCAAGGGUGAGUGUUUAGUAUCUACAAUACUCAAAGAAAAUUCAAGAGUGAUUUUAAAUUCUGUUUCAAACAUCUCCUUUAUUUUCUCUCCUUUCCUCUAAGACAUCUCUGAAUAAGAGCUUCCCUCCAACUGCCAGGGAAAAAUAGUAAGCCUGAUCUCACAGGAGUCAAGUCAUUUUUGCCCCUAGUAGAGGUAGGGUUCAGGACGUUUAGAUUAAUCAAAUUUUAUUUUGUUUCUCUUUGCAGAGUUUUUGGGAUUUUUAACAAAAAAUGUUUCAAAAAGUAUAGAAAAAUGGACCUAGAGAUUAUCAUACUAAGUGAAGUAAGUCAGAAAGAGAAAGACAAAUACCCUAUGAUAUCGCUUAUAUAUGGAAUCUAAAAUAUGGCACAAAUGAACUUAUCUGUGAAACAGAAACAGACUCACAGACACAGAGAACAGACUUGUGGUUGUCAAGGGGGAGGUUGGCAUUAGUAGAUGCAAACUGUUAUAUACAGGAUGGAUAAACAACAAGGUCCCACUGUAGAGCACAGGGAACUAUAUUCACUGUCCUGUGAUAAACCAUAAUGGAAAAGAAUAUAUAUAUGUAUAACUGAAUCACUUUGCUGUACACCAGAAAUUAACACAACAAUGUAAAUCAACUAUACGUCAAUAAAAUAAAUUUUAAAAAAUGUAUGGGAACAUGUGGGGGGGUCAGUAUUCUGGAAGCUUCCAUUGCAUAGACUUGUUAUGAUGUGGCGCCCCCUUGUGGUGUGGAGGACAAUCUCAGUCCAGAGCUUCUUGAGAUGAAGCCACCUAUCGUAAAGCUUUGGAGGCUUGUUCUAACAGGGAUCCUGGAUGUCAGCAGGGAUCCAGGUCCACAGCCUGAAUCAGGCCUGGAGAGCUGUAGGUCAUCACUUUUCUCCAGACUUUGAGGCCCAGGGACCCCUGGCAUCACUUUCUGUCCAGUGUCUCAAUAUUCUCCUUUCUCCAUUUUCCUUCCUUAGGGCACCUUUAACUGCAUAAAAUGCAUUAUUCCAGAACAUUCUAACAUGUGGUCAUAAAUGCCUGCCAUUACCCCUUUCCCACAUGAUUCACUUGUAAUGAAAAGCAAAAGUCCUUCUACAGUAAUCACAACAGUAUGGUAAUGGUGCAAAAACAGAUAUACAGAUCAAUGGAACAGGAUAGAAAGCCCAGAAAUAAACCCAUGCACCUAUGGUCAAUUAAUCUAUGACAAAAGAAGCAAGAAUAUACAACAAAGACAAACUCUUCAAUAAGUGGUGCUGGGAAAACUGGACAGCUACAUGUAAAAGAAUGAAAUUAGAACGUUCUCUAACACCAUACACAAAAAUAAACUCAAUAUAGAUCAAAGACCUAAAUGUAAGGCCAGACACUAUAAAACUUCUAGAGGAAGACACAGGCAGAACACUCUUUGACAUAAAUCACAGCAAUAUCUUUUUGGAUCCACCUCCUAGAGGAAUGAAAAUAAAAACAAAAAUAAACAAAUGGGACCUAAUGAAACUUAAAAGCUUUUGCACAGCAAAGGAAACCAUACACAAAAUGAAAACACAACCCACAGAAUGGGAGAAAAUAUUUGCAAACAAAGUGACCAACAAGGGAUUAAACUCCAAAAUAUACAAAUAGCUCAUGCAGCUCUAGGUCAGAAAACCAAACAACCCAAUCAAAAAAUGGGCAGAAGAUCUACAUAGACAUUUCUCCAAAGAAGACAUACAGACGGCCAAAAAGCACAUGAAAAGAUGCUCGACAUCACUAAUUAUUAGAGAAAUGCAAAUCAAAACUACAAUGAGGUAUCACCUCACAUCAUCCAAAAGUCUACAAACAAUAAAUGCUGGAGAGGAUGUGGAGAAAAGGGAACCCUCCUACACUGCUGGUGGGAAUGUAAAUUGGUACAACCAUUAUGGAGAACAGUACGGAGGUUCCUUAAAAAACUAAAAAUAGGGACUCCCUGGUGGUGCAGUGGUUAAGAAUCCGCCUGCCAAUGCAGGGGACACGGGUUUGAGCCCUGGUCCGGGAAGAUCCCACAUGCCGCGGAGCAACUAAGCCCGUGCACCACAACUACUGAGCCUGCACGCUAGAGCCCGUAAUCCACAACUACUGAGCCCGCUUGCCAUAACUACUGAAGCCCGCGCGCCUACAGCCCAUGCUCUGCAACAAAAGCCACCGCAAUGAGAAGCCUGCGCACCGCAACGAAGAGUAGACCCCGCUCACCGCAACUAGAGAAAGCCCAUGCGCAGCCACGAAGACCCAACGCAGCCAAAGAUAAUUUAAAAAAACAAAAAAGAAAAGAGUUUAAAAAAGACAAAAUAAAACCCCCUAAAAAUAGAGCUACCAUAUGAUCUAGCAAUUCUACUCCUGGGUAUAUAUCCAGACAAAAUUAUAAUUCAAAAAGAUACAUACACCCCUUUGUUCAUAGCAGCACUGUUCACAAUAGCCAAGACAUGGAAGCAACCUAAAUGUCCACUGACAGAUGAAUGGAUAAAGAAGAUGUGGUAUAUAUGUACAAUGGAAAAUUACUCAGCCAUAAAAAAGAACAAAAUAAUGACAUUUGCAGCAAUAUGGAUGGACCUAGAGAUUAUCAUACUAAGUGAAGUAAGUCAGACAAAGAAAGACAAAUACGAUGAUAUCAUUCAUAUGUGGAAUCUAAUUUUAAAAAAUGAUACAAAUGAAGUUAUUUACAAAACAGAAACAGACUCUCAGAUUUUGAAAACAAACUUAUGGUUACCAAAGGGGAAAUGUUGGGGAGAGGGAUAAAUUAGAAGUUGGGGAUUAACAUACACACACUACUAUAUAUAAAACAGAUAACCAACAAGGACCUACUGUAUAACACAGGGAACUCUACUCAGUAUUCUCUAAUAACCUGUAUGGGUAAAGAAUCUGGAAAAGAAUGAAUAUAUGUGUAUGUAUAACUGAAUCACUUUGCUGUACACCUAAAACUAACACAACAUUGUA